rnacentral:lncRNA from 1 species
UCCUGAUGGGGUGUGCAUUUUUUUGGGCCCAUCCUGAUGGGGUGUGCAUUUUUUUGGGCUGAACCUGCCUCUCGGGUGUUUUUCCUGGGCCCCAGGAGAUCUUCGGGCCCAUCCUGGCCGUGUUCGUGUACCCCGAGCAGCGCUACCGCGAGGUGCUGGAGCUCAUCGACACCACCACCCCCUACGGCCUCACGGGGGCGAUCUUCGCCCGGGAGAAGGCUGCCAUCGAGGAGUCCCUGCGGGUGCUGCGCCACGCCGCCGGCAACAUCUACAUCAACGACAAAUCCACGGGGGCCGUGGUGGCCCAGCAGCCCUUCGGGGGCUCCCGCAUCUCAGGUGACACCAGGGCUGCUGGCCAGGCCCUCCCCAGCUGUCCCCUGUGUCCCUCCUGUCCCCUGUGUCCCUCCUGUCCUUCCAUGUCCCUCCCAUCCCUCCAUGUCCCUCUUGUCUCUAUGUCCCUCCUGUCCUUCUUGUCCUUCCAUGUCCCCAUCCUCUGUGUCCCCUUGUUCCUCCAAUCCCUGCAUGUCCCUCCCAUUCCUUGUGUCCCCUGUGUCCCUUCUGUGCUCCACGUCCCUCCGUGUCCCUCCUGUCCUCCUUGUCCUUCCAUGUCCCUCCUGUGCCCCGUGUCCCUCCAUGUCCCCAUCCUUUGUGUCACUCCAUGUCCCUCACAUUGCUCUGUGUCCCUCCGUGUCCUUCCCAUCCCUCCAUGUCCCUCCUGUGCUCCUUGUCCUUCCAUGUCCCUCGCAUUCCUUGUGUCCUGUGUCCUUCCCAUCCCUCCGUGUCCCUCCUGUGUCCUGUGUCCUUCCCGUCCCUCCUGUCCCCUGUGUCCCUCCUGUCCCCUUUGUCCCUUGUCCUGUGCCCCUCCCAUCCCUCCUGUUCUCCUUGUCCUUCCAUGUCCCUCCUGUCCCGUGUCCCUCUCAUCCUUUCCACAUCCCUCCUGUGCUCCGUGUCCCUGUUCUCUUCCCUCCUGUCCCUGAGUGUCCCUCCUGUGCCCCAUGUCCCCAUCCUCUGUGUCCAUGUCCCUCUGUGUCCCUCCAUGUCCCUCCCAUCUUUCUGCGUCCCUCCUGUCCUCCUUGUCCUUCCAUAUCCCUCCUGUCCCGUGUCCCUCUCAUCCCUCCACGUCCCUCCUGUCCUCCUGUGUCCCCUGUGUCCCUCCCAUCCCUCCACGUCCCUCCUGUGCUCCGUGUCCCUUGUCCUGUGUCCCUCCCAUCCCUCCUGUCCUCCUUGUCCUUCCAUGUCCCUCCUGUCCCAUGUCCCUCUCAUCCCUCCACGUCCCUCCUGUGCUCUGUGUCCCUGUUCUCUUCGUCCCUCCUGUCCCUGAGUGUCCCUCCAUGUCCCCAUCCUCUGUGUCCAUGUCCCUAUGUGUCCCCCGUGUCCCUCCCACCCCUCCCCUCCCUCCUGUGCUCCGUGUCCCUGUUCUCUUCAUCCCUCCUGUCCCUGUGUGUCCCUCCUGUGCCCCUCCAUGUCCCCACCCUUGUGUCCCUCGGUGUCCCUGCCACCCUCGUGGUGCCACCAGCCCUUUCUGCUGUCCCCAGGCACCAAUGACAAGCCCGGGGGUCCCCACUACCUGCUGCGCUGGACGUCCCCGCAGGCCAUCAAGGAGACACACGUGGCCCUGGGGGACUGGCAGUACCCCUGCAUGCAGUGACCCUGGGGGACUGGCAGUACCCCUGCAUGCAGUGACCCUGGGGACAGCUGCCACCGCAGCGCCGGCAGCGCUCGCACUACUGACCCCCCACCUGCCCCUCCUAGCUCCUGAAAAAAAAACAAACAAAAAAAGUUGUUAAAUGGUAAAAGCUCGGAGCUGCUCGUGGUGUCCUCGGCCGCCCCUGGGGACACGAUGGUGAGUGUGCCACUGCUUGGGUUGCAUGACCUUAAAGGGCUUUGCCAACCUCAGUGAUUCUGUGCAGGCAUGCUUCAUUAGGUCAGUCGUUAAUUAAGGGGUGGCUGCAGAGGCACAGCUGGACCCCGGCUCCCUUUUCCUCCCGGCUCUGCCACCCCCAGAGCGGAUCCCCCUCCCCAGGGCCGAGCAGGAGCUGAGAUCUGUCCCUGUCCCUGCACCCAGCCAUGUCCCUGCCUGUCCCAAAUCCCUGGGUGUGCAGGGCAGCCAGGCUGGUCCCACCCCUGGGCUGGGCUGUGUCCCCAGCCUGAGCCCCCUGGGCUGGGCUGUGUCCCCAACCUGAGCCCCCUGUCACCCCUGGGCUGGGCUGUGUCCCCAACCUGAGCCCCCUGUCACCCCUGGGCUGGGCUGUGUCUCCAGCCUGGCACCCCUGUCACCCCUGGGCUGGGCUGUGUCCCCAACCUGAGCCCCCUGUCACCCCUGGGCUGGGUUUUGUCCCCAACCUGAGCCCCCUGUCACCCCUGGGCUGGGCUGUGUCCCCAGCCUGGCACCCCUGGGCUGGGUUUUGUCCCCAGCCUGGCACCCCUGGGCUGGGUUUUGUCCCCAACUUGAGCCCCCUGUCACCCCUGGGCUGGGCUGUGUCCCCAGCCUGACA